rnacentral:misc_RNA from 1 species
UUAAGUUCAGCGGGUAUUCCUACCUGAUCCGAGGUCAACCAACUAAAAAGUAUAGGGCUUAUGGCGACGGCUACAGCGCAACAGUAAGCGGUAAUAGAUCUACUACGCUAAGAGUGCAACUGCGACCCUGCCACUGACUUUGAGGAGUUACCGUACGGUAAUGCUCCCAACGCUAAGCAACUAGGCUUAAUGGACUUAAU